rnacentral:rRNA from 1 species
GAUGGACGCUGGCGGCGUGCCUAAUACAUGCAAGUCGAGCGAACAGACGAGGAGCUUGCUCCUCUGACGUUAGCGGCGGACGGGUGAGUAACACGUGGAUAACCUACCUAUAAGACUGGGAUAACUUCGGGAAACCGGAGCUAAUACCGGAUAAUAUAUUGAACCGCAUGGUUCAAUAGUGAAAGACGGUUUUGCUGUCACUUAUAGAUGGAUCCGCGCCGCAUUAGCUAGUUGGUAAGGUAACGGCUUACCAAGGCAACGAUGCGUAGCCGACCUGAGAGGGUGAUCGCCCACACUGGAACUGAGACACGGUCCAGACUCCUACGGGAGGCAGCGGUAGGGAGUCUUCCACAAUGGGCGAAAGCCUGACGGAGCAACGCCGCGUGAGUGAUGAAGGUCUUCGGAUCGUAAAACUCUGUUAUUAGGGAAGAACAAAUGUGUAAGUAACUAUGCACGUCUUGACGGUACCUAAUCAGAAAGCCACGGCUAACUACGUG